rnacentral:misc_RNA from 1 species
GGUUCCUGUGUUGCCUUCCCAUCGUGUGGAAAAAUUCGUCAGACAGCCCCGCACCUGUCCUCCUUGUGGCUUUGCGGCUGCAAUGCGGACCUCGAAGGCAGUCCCCGUGUCCCGGACAUAUCCUCUGACUUUUGUCGUGGCUGUCUCGGUCCACAGGACAACUGCUCGUGCUCUCGGAUGUGGAAAAUUAAGCGGACGUGGGGGGGUCUUGGCCUCCGGUUGCUCCAAUCAAGUCCCUCGAUAAGAAUGACUCUCGCUACCUCAUUGAUCGCAGGCCGUCUAGGCCCGUGGCAUCAAUGAUGGUCCGAAGUCGAUAACGAAUGCUACCUGGUUGAUCCUGCCAGUAGUCAUAUGCUUGUCUCAAAGAUUAAGCCAUGCAU